CAGAGUUGCAAAACUCCCACAACCAUCGCUAAUCCUUACCUGUAUCGUUUCCUCGGCCUGGCGGUCCGGAGGCCUUCGGCCCCUAACCGCGGUCCCCCUUCGCGGGGGGAGGCUACCCGCCGGAGGGCCGAACUAAACUCUUAUAUCUUAUGGCUCUCUGAGUACACUUUUAAAUAAGUUA
rnacentral:misc_RNA from 1 species